rnacentral:tmRNA from 1 species
AGGUUUGAUUUCCCCCUCGCCAGAGCCUAUAUUCUUCCCGUCACGCCGCAAGGCAUGACUAUGGUGAUAAACGGCCAUCAUAAUAAGCCUUUCGGACCCGGGGGCAGUACCCGGCGCCUCCACCACAGACCCUCGACGCCGAGGGCCGGUGAUGGGGGCGAACUAGGAUCGACGAGGGUGUAAAGGUUGGUUUUUUGCCCGCGAUGGUUCCGGCGUUAUCGGGCUAACAUAUAGUUGCCAACGACAACUAUGCUCCGGUCGCUCUCGCCGCUUAAUGCGGUAGCGACGACCGAAAUCAAAGUCCUGGAGCCUUAGCAGUUCCAGGCGGGGUCCGCCGGCACCUGGCAACAGAAGCCGGCACU